rnacentral:tRNA from 1 species
AGUAAGGAUAGUACUCAGAUGGUAGAGCGGUGAGAUAAUAUCAAAAGCUGGUAUCGGAGGUUCGAGUCCUCCCCUUACUA